rnacentral:rRNA from 1 species
UGAGGAAUAUUGGUCAAUGGACGCAAGUCUGAACCAGCCAUGCCGCGUGCAGGAUGACGGCUCUAUGAGUUGUAAACUGCUUUUGUACGAGGGUAAACCCGGAUACGAGUAUCCGGCUGAAAGUAUCGUACGAAUAAGGAUCGGCUAACUCCGUGCCAGCAGCCGCGGUAAUACGGAGGAUUCAAGCGUUAUCCGGAUUUAUUGGGUUUAAAGGGUGCGUAGGCGGUUUGAUAAGUUAGAGGUGAAAUACCGGUGCUUAACACCGGAACUGCCUCUAAUACUGUUGAGCUAGAGAGUAGUUGCGGUAGGCGGAAUGUAUGGUGUAGCGGUGAAAUGCUUAGAUAUUGCGCAGAACUCCGAUUGCGAAGGCAGCGUACUGGCGCCUGACUGACGCUGAGGCACGAAAGCGUGGGGGAUCGAACAGGAUUAGAUACC